AUUUUGUUGCUGUUGUUUUUGCAUUCUACAAUUUAAUCACUUUGUUGUUAAGUACAAUAGCAGUUACACAUGAUUAAAUCCAUUUGUUUAUUUCGAUUAAAAAAAAAAACACAUUUCAUUCUACUUUUUUCACAAUUUGUUUUCCUACUAUUUCGCCUAAAGCCACAUUACGUCAACUGAAAGCAUAGCAAAAGUAGCAAAGACAAACGAGCGAUCGAAAACGGCCGUCGAAGCAGCACACGCUGAGCAACCUGAAUACAAUGAAGCGCUUACAACACACGACACUGGCACAGGUAAGCAGUGACAAAGCAGACAAUAACAACGAUGACACCAAAAAGAAAAAAGAAGAAGCAGAAGCAGAAGAGAAGCUAGAAAGAUAUAUAUGUAUGUAUAUUUGCAUACUGGAAAUGAGCGACAACCAACGAACUGCAGUUUAAACAACAAAGUAACGAACAACGAGCAGGUGUGGGAAUGCUGGUGUCAAUGAUGGCUGUCAGUUUUGGAGUUGCUGCUGGAGUUUGAUUUGUAGCUUCAUGCUUAAGGUUUUUCAAGCCACCUAGAAGGCGGCCACCCAAGUAGAAGCAGCGAGUUGGAAAGCAGCGGCAACUCGGAGGCUGCUUUUUGGUUGUGGGAAAUACACUUUUGUUGAAGAAACUUGCUUGAAGCAAGCACCAAGCGUUAACAGCUCGUUAUGAUGGCGACGGUGAAGACAAGUGGUGUGUUGCAAGAUUAUAAUAGAAAAGAUGUUGGAAAAUUACAAAUAAAGAGUCAAUAAAAAACACUUCUUCACAUACAUACAUGUGUAUGUACAUAUAUCGUAAAGCAACAAUAAUAAAGCUGUAAGAAAUAUAGCAUUCUCUCUUCGAAGAAAUAGUCAUAAUAUUAUGAAAUCGAAAAUAAUAAAAGUUACAAAUGAAUUACACCACAUAAGCGAAAAUGCAUAGAAAAGUGGAGAGUGGCUUCGAACAGCUGUGCAUAUAUCAGGUAUAGAUAGGCAAACGGACGGACAGCUGCUGACGUACUCUAUUCGACUGCGUCUUCUCUUCACACUUCGGGGUAUUUUAUCAGUAACGGGAAUUUGAGAAAUUAAAUUUAAAACACCUGUCAAAGCUAAGCACAAUCAGAGACGGCCGAACCAAUUCUGGACCCUCCCAGACCCCUCGAACCCUAGAUACUUAUC